CUCCUACGGGAGGCAGCAGUGAGGAAUAUUGCACAAUGGAGGAAACUCUGAUGCAGCAACGCCGCGUGGAGGAUGACGCAUUUCGGUGUGUAAACUCCUUUUAAGAGGGAAGAUUAUGACGGUACCUCUUGAAUAAGCACCGGCUAACUCCGUGCCAGCAGCCGCGGUAAUACGGAGGGUGCAAGCGUUACUCGGAAUCACUGGGCGUAAAGGGUGCGUAGGCUGACUUUUAAGUCAGGCGUGAAAUCCAAUGGCUUAACCAUUGAACUGCGCUUGAAACUGGGAGUCUAGAGUUCAGAAGGGGCAGAUGGAAUUAGUGGUGUAGGGGUAAAAUCCGUAGAUAUCACUAGGAAUAUCAAAAGCGAAGGCGAUCUGCUGGGAUGAUACUGACGCUGAGGCACGAAAGCGUGGGGAGCAAACAGGAUUAGAUACCCUGGUAGUCCACGCCCUAAACGAUGAAUGCUAGUCGUCGGGGAGCUCGUCUCUUCGGUGAUGCACUUAACAGAUUAAGCAUUCCGCCUGGGGAGUACGGUCGCAAGAUUAAAACUCAAAGGAAUAGACGGGGACCCGCACAAGUGGUGGAGCAUGUGGUUUAAUUCGAAGAUACACGAAGAACCUUACCUGGCCUUGACAUGGUAGGAACCCUUAAGAGAUUAGGGGGUGCUAGCUUGCUAGAACCUACACACAGGUGCUGCACGGCUGUCGUCAGCUCGUGUCGUGAGAUGUUGGGUUAAGUCCCGCAACGAGCGCAACCCUCGUCCUUAGUUGCUAACAGUUCGGCUGAGCACUCUAAGGAGACUGCCUUCGCAAGGAGGAGGAAGGUGAGGACGACGUCAAGUCAUCAUGGCCCUUACGGCCAGGGCUACACACGUGCUACAAUGGGGCGUACAAAGAGCUGCAAUACCGCGAGGUGGAGCCAAUCUCUUAAAGCGUCUCUCAGUUCGGAUUGUUCUCUGCAACUCGAGAACAUGAAGCUGGAAUCACUAGUAAUCGUAGAUCAGCUAUGCUACGGUGAAUACGUUCCCGGGUCUUGUACUCACCGCCCGUCACACCAUGGGAGUUGAUUUCACCCGAAAUCGGGAUGCCAAACUGGCUACCGCUUACGGUGGAAUUAGCGACUGAGGUGAAGUCGUAACAAGGUA
rnacentral:rRNA from 1 species